rnacentral:rRNA from 1 species
UACGGAGGUGGCGAGCGUUGUCCGAAGUUACUGGGCGUAAAGCGCGCGUAGGCGGGGGAUUAAGUGAGAAGUGAAAGGCUGGGGCUCAACUCCAUGCAGUGCUUCUCAUACUGGUCUUCUUGAGGGGGGUAGAGAGAAGUGGAAUGGCUGGUGUAGCGGUGAAAUGCGUAGAUAUCAGGAGGAACACCUGCGGUGUAGACGGCUUACUGGACCAUAACUGACGCUGAGGCACGAAAGCGUGGGUAGCAAACAGG